GCCAGGCAUGGUAGUACACACCUGUAUUCCUAGCUACUGGGGAGGCUGAGGCAGGAGGAUCACUUGAGCACAGGAUUUCUGGGCUGUGGUAUGCUAUUCUGAUCUGGUGUCUUCACUAAACUCAGCAUCAAUAUGGUAACUUCCUGGGAGCAGGAGACCACCAGGUUUCCUAAGGAAGGGUGAACUGGGCCAGCUCAGAAACAGAGCAAGUAAACACUCCCAUGCUGAUCAGUAGUAGGAUCGCUCCAUGAAAAGCCACUGCACUUCCAGCCAGGGUCACAUAGCGAGACCCCACCUUAA
ensembl:misc_RNA Metazoa_SRP Metazoan signal recognition particle RNA